CAACCCUCGAGCUCCCCUUGGGGAGCCCGGCGUUGGGGACCGGCCUCUACCGCCGACCCCGAAAUACAGUGGCGGCCCCGUCACGGCGACCUCUGCGUAGUAACUCAACCUCGCACCGGAAACCCGACGUGGCCACGCCGUAAAACACCCCACUUCUGAA
rnacentral:misc_RNA from 1 species